UGUUAUUUAUCAAUUAGUUGAUGAGAUAAUACAAUUAAUUCACUUAGAUCUUGUAAAGAAUUAUCAACCACUCAAAUAAUGACACAUCAUUUAAAAUAAUUCUUUAAGAUAAAAAAUUUAAGAUGUGUAGCACUAUUGUUUGAAUUAAGAAUCCUAGAACCCCAACGAAUUAUAUCUUCCAAUUCAAAAUUCAAUUAGGGAUUAGGAAUCCGAUCCGGUUAAAAGCUUAAACAAAAAAAGGAAAAAAAUUCACAAAACAAUUUCAUAAAACAAAGCUCCAAACCCGAUCAGCCGAUCCGUAACCCCAAAUUCAAACUCUAACAGCCAUAUCCUCUCUCAUCCGGUCAUCCCUCUUGCCGGCAAUUCCUCCACGCCGCACCACGUCUCGUUAUCGCAGCCCCCGACUUCGAUCCCCAAAUUCCCAAUUUCGCAAAACAAAACAAAUACUAACAGCCACAUCUUCUCUCAUCAGGUCAUCCCUCUCAGUUCGAAGUCACUCCACGCCGUUCUAAGUUAGCACAGCUCGUCGUCGCAGCCAAGUGCCAACGACUUCGGCUCACGACUCUCUCUCUCUCUUUCUCUCUCAAAUCGUUGUCGCAGUUAUCAAAAGCACAGUGUUUAGUUUCGACCCCAAGUCUCGAAGUCGAGUAAUCCUGAGAGCACCACCAAAACUCUAGCGGCCUGGUAUUUUUGUUUUAAACUUUUUCCUUUUAGUUAAUUAGAUUUUCAUUAUAAUAUUUAUUGCCGGUAAACUUUUAUAAUUUUAUGAGUAAUUAGAGUUAAUUGAUGAGUAUUUUAGUUGUGGGCAAUUUGACUAAGACUUGGAGAGAUAGAGACUAUAAUCAAAAUUUAAAAUUUAAUUAGAAAUUGGUGAAAAUUGUUGAAUUUGUUAAUUAUAUGGAUACUUUUGUCACUCUGAUCUGUGAAAUUAAUUUUUUUCGGGAUGAUAAUUAAAGGGCAGUGGAAUGUUUAGUUAUUCUGCUACUUUGCAAACUUGCAGAUUGCUUAUUGUGCAUUAAAAGGGCGAGUAAUCUUUCACUGUAAACACUUAAUAGUGGAUUUGUAGCACAUUUAAUUGUUGGUACUUUGAAGAAUAAGAUGGUUCAUUGCUAACCUAAAUUAUUAACCCAAACCGUAUUUCAACCCAAAAUUAAUAAUGAAAUUAAAAUCGAACUGAACCAAAAUUGAAAGUAAAUGAACUAAAUUGAACCGAAUAAAUUUUCAACCCAUUUAGAUUGAUUAUUAAACCCAAUUGGUUUGUAAACCCAACUGAAAACCGAAAAACCUGAAAUGGCCACCCCUAUGUUUUAAGGGUUAUUCAACGCUUGCACCUAAAUGUUUCAAGAAAUGGCACCGCACACUCACUUCUUUCGAAGCCUUUUACCGCGCACCCAAAUCGUUUGUUCUGCUGUUAAUUUUGACAAUCGAAGGGCGAAAAUUGGUAAUUGUCGAGACAAAUUAAAAAAUACAUAUAUACUAAAUAAAGUGUCAUCAUUCACUUUUUUUUCCACCUUUCCUUUUUCUUUUUCUUCAUCUUUUUCUUCUUACAGUUCUUGAAUGUGGUAGCGGUAGUUCCAUUCACGCUCAAGAGCGACGAUAUUCAUAGAAGGUGUUGGUAAAUGAAAAUAAAUUUUCUAUUUAAUAAAAUUAGCGGAAGCUAGUCUUUUACUAUUAUUAUUAUUAUUAUUAUUAUUAUUAUUAUUAUUAUUAUUAUUAUUAUUAUUAUUAUUAUUAUUAUUAUUAUUAUUAUGUAUACAUGCAUAGAGUUAAAAUAAGACUUUGAUUUCUUAUAGAAUAUUGCGCGCGCAUGUGUGUGCGUGUGCGUGUGCGUGUGCGUGUGCGUGUUAAUUUAUUUUGUUGAACAAGGUAUGUUCUAAGUUUGGUGUGUGUGUGUGUGUUAAUUUAUUUUGUUGAACAAGGUAUGUUUUAAGUUUGGUGUGUGUGUGUUAAUUUAUUUUGUUGAACAAGGUAUGUUCUAAGUUUGGUGUGUGUGUGUGUGAAUUUAUUUUGUUGAACAAGGUAUGUUCUAAGUUUGGUGUGUGUUAAUUUAUUUUGUUGAACAAGGUAUGUUCUAAGUUUGGUGUGAGUUCUUCUCACUUCAGUAUUUACUUAACGCAAUAAAAGAAUUAUCGCAAGAGUGGCUAAUACGCUAAAAGCUAAAUUUCAAGGGCAAGGUUAUUGCAAAAUAAAUCAAAUGGGCUUGAUGCUUGGAGUUGCGCGGAUUGAUUAAAUCUAUUGUAAGGAUCGCACGUGAAAGAAGCGUAAUUGUAAAGCAUGCACCUUCACAUGAUUUGACUUGAAGAUUGGUGGCCAAACAACCUAAUUCUACAAGGAUUUGACGUUAACUUGAAGUCGGCCAAGGUAUUAUAAAAACAAAGCCAUUGGGUUAUGAAAAUAAGUCAAGAGACGGACACAAGAUUUAUAGAUGCCGCCGAGAGCAAUUGAAGAGCAACAGUCAGGGUUUUGAGAGGAGAGAUUUUU
rnacentral:lncRNA from 1 species